UACGUAGGGUGCGAGCGUUGUCCGGAAUUAUUGGGCGUAAAGGGCGCGUAGGCGGCCAUGCGUGUCUUCCGUGAAAUCCCUCGGCUUAACUGAGGACGUGCGGAAGAAACUGCAAGGCUCGAGUCCGGGAGAGGAGGGUGGAAUUCCCAGUGUAGCGGUGAAAUGCGUAGAUAUUGGGAGGAACACCGGUGGCGAAGGCGGCCCUCUGGACCGGUACUGACGCUGAUGCGCGAAAGCGUGGGUAGCAAACGGG
rnacentral:rRNA from 1 species